rnacentral:lncRNA from 1 species
AUGGGCUCUGGAAGACGGAGGGGCUGCUGGCAGCUUGCUGAAGCUGUCCGGGCCUCCGCAGCCCGGAGCGGGAUCCGUUCCAUCGCACACCACGACUCGACCAACUGCUUGGGUGCCGCGCCGGCCGAGUGGACCGCUAGGGUCUCUCAGGAGCCUGGCGGGUGGGAAGAGGCCGCCGAGGACAGAGGGAGCCGCCGGACGAGGGCGGCGUCGGGGGCACGGCCACGCGGGGCCGGCCCCGGUUGGCCCUGGGUUCCCGUGGGGCCGCGAGGUGGAAGGGCUGGGCGGCGGCGGCGGCGGCGGCGGCGGUGGCCGCGGCCGCGGGGCACUCGCGCGGCUGGACAGCGGUGGGGGCGUGGCGGGGCGAUGGGGCGACCGGUGAGGAGGGAGGAGGGGCGGGAGGAGCGUGGAGGGAGCGGCGCUGGGGCCGGGGGGGGGGGGCGCAAAAGGAGAGGGAGGCGGCGGGAGGCAAAAGCCUACAGCACCCGGUAUUCCCAGGCGGUCUCCCAUCCAAGUACUAACCAGGCGGUCUCCCAUCCAAGUACUAACCAGGCCCGACCCUGCUUAGCUUCCGAGAUCAGACGAGAUCGGGCGCGUUCAGGGUGGUAUGGCCGUAGACGCUGGCGGCUGCCGCCGGCGCCCCUAAGAAGCCUCGCGCGCGCGCGCGCUGUCGCCUGGCCCUGUGACGCGCCGUCGCCUGGCCUGUGACGCGCGCGCCCGAGCCCCUGUGACGCGCACCGGCCGCCCGCGUCCCCUGCGCCCCGCGCUCCGCCGCCUGCCGCCUGCCUGCCACUGCCUCCCGCCGCCGCCGCCGCCGCCGCCGCCGCCGCCGCGGCCAGCCAAACCCUGCCCUGCCCUGCCCUGCCCUGCCCUGCCCUGCCCUGCCGCCCGCCCAGGGCGCGGGAGGCCUCGGGCACCCGGGGACUGUGGGCGGGCGGGGCGCAAGUCUAGGCGCUCUCCCAAGCCGGCCCCGGACGCUCCAGGCCUCCUGUCCGCCCGCAUCCCGGCGACGGGUCGCAGGACAUCCGGCUGCUCUGCUCGGGGACAGGUGGCCCGGGGCGUCGGGCGCGUCGGCGCGUCGGCGCGUCGGCGCGUCGGGGCCCCGGGCCCGCGAGGCCCCUCCGGCCCGAGGCGCCUCCCAACGAACCCGGGCCCAACAACCCCCGGCGGCCGCCGCUCCGGCCCGGCCCCAACUUGCCCAAAUCCAGCUGGAGCCACCGGCGCGACCAGAGGGCAUCACCGGAAACCCCUCCGGGGCGGGCGGCGGGGCGCGGGGAGACCAGGGCGGGCCACCCUUCCCCGCCCCGCCCCGCGCCCCGCCCACGGGACCCGGACCGCGCCCUCAACCCCAGGCCCCGCGGCCACCCUGGACAGCUCCUGACUGACCGACCUGAGAGACACAGAGACAGAGACAGAGACAGAGGCAGAGACAGAGAGAUUGAGAGGAUCCGAGACACGGACCCAGACAGACACCCCCCGGGACAGACACACAGACGCUCACGCUGACACAGAGAGGCCCUGCCCAAGAGGCAGCUUCCCCACAGGAGGGCGGUGGUGCUUGAGCUGGGCCCGGGCAAGGAGGCGGGGGCCCUGGGGCUGGCGAUCACCCCUGGGGCCCUGGGACGUGCAGACAGGGUCUCAGGAGUGCAGCGCUCCUGGGAUCCCUGUCCCGCGACCCGGACGCCCAGGAGCCACGGACAGGCAGCCG